CAUUCUCUGGUCUCUGGAGGCUGCAGGGAUUAAGGGAAUCUGAGGGUCGGAGUUGGAGUGACUCGUAAGCCCACUCUUGCAACCAGACACCAAUGAGCGAUGAAUGGUCUCCAACUCCAAUUCCACUUCACAAGCCCCUUGUUUUUACCGUUUGGAUUUAGGUUUCGGUAUACUCAUUCCCGAGUUAUAUCAUUCCUUCUCACUGUCACGUCACCGUCAUUAAUUAUAAUCCCUUACCACUUCUACUUUCUCUCCUCUAUAAAUAAGGUUCGACCUUUUAAAUAUUUUAUUAAUAUUAAUUCUUUCUUGCUCUGUUUCUUCUCUGCGAGACUGCGAUUAGUGAGAGGGUUUGGUCGAAGCUGGUGGUGUUGAUUUGAGGGAGAAAGAUAUAAAGAGGAAAGGAAAGAUGUUGGAGUUGGUCAUGUUGGGAUGUGCCGGUUUCGUUGUAUUCGCCCACGGUCUCAAUUUCUUCUUCCAAGCUAUCUUAAAGCUUAAGAACUUUAGAUCUCUCAGUUUCUUGGGAUUUGCUGCAUAGUCAAAAUUGUAGAGAUACUCAUGAUGAUGACGACGGCUUAAAAUUGAGAGAUGUGUUUUACCAAAAACAAAGAAUUGAGAGAUGUGAUUACCUUUUUUUUUUUUUCUUAGUUUGAAACUUGUUGAUGGAAAACUGAAGUGUGGGUAAUAGAAAGGCCACUGUGAUAUCA